GACGAACCGAGCGAACGUUGUUCGGAAUCACUGGGCUUAAAGGGCGCGUAGGCGGGUGCUCAAGUCCGGGGUGAAAUCCCACAGCUCAACUGUGGAAUUGCCUCGGAUACUGGGCGUCUCGAGGGUGGCAGGGGUAUGCGGAACUAUCGGUGGAGCGGUGAAAUGCGUUGAUAUCGAUAGGAACGCCGGUGGCGAAGGCGGCAUACUGGUCCACUUCUGACGCUGAGGCGCGAAAGCCAGGGGAGCAAACGGG
rnacentral:rRNA from 1 species